rnacentral:rRNA from 1 species
AUUGAACGCUAGCGGGAUGCUUUACACAUGCAAGUCGAACGGCAGCGCGGACUUCGGUCUGGCGGCGAGUGGCGAACGGGUGAGUAAUGUAUCGGAACGUGCCCAGUAGCGGGGGAUAACUACGCGAAAGCGUAGCUAAUACCGCAUACGCCCUACGGGGGAAAGCAGGGGAUCGUAAGACCUUGCACUAUUGGAGCGGCCGAUACUGGACUAGCUAGUUGGUGAGGUAACGGGUCACCAAGGGGACGAUCCGUAGCUGGUGUGAAGGGACGACCAGCCACACUGGGACUGGGACACGGCCCAGACUCCUACGGGAGGCAGCAGUGGGGAAUUUUGGGCAAUGGGGGCAACCCUGAUCCAGCCAUCCCGCGUGUGCGAUGAAGGCCUUCGGGUUGUAAAGCACUUUUGGCAGGAAAGAAACGUCGCGGGCUAAUACCCCGUGGAACUGACGGUACCUGCAGAAUAAGCACCGGCUAACUACGUG